UUGAUCUCUUUUCCAGAUUUAAUCAGGAUCAUUCAUUGUUAUGACUUUUUCUUAGUUUCCAUGUGAUUGCAUUGACCGUGGACUACAAUAGGCACGCGCCUCUGGAUGCUUGGAUCUGCCAGCUCAAUUAAUGAGCUCAGAUCCAAGGGCUCUCGUUUUUUGCCAUUUUUAAUUUCUGGUUUUAUUUUUCUUUAAUUCCAUUAUUUUCAAAAAUCAAUAUCUCUCUCAUUUUUAAUCCAAAAAUUAUGGGACCAAUUGCAUU
rnacentral:lncRNA from 1 species